UUAACAACAAAUUCUUAUUUACAAUGCUGACCUUUCAAACACAUCAAUAAACAACACAUCAAUAAACAACAAUUACAGCAUGCAUAUAUCUAUAAACACAUCAAUUACACAAUACAUGAAAAUCAAACCCAAAACAGGAAAAACAAAACACAAUCAUAUGAAACAAACAUGCUUAAGUAAAAAGGCUGUCUACCAUCCGCCUGAAUUGCCCUAGAGGCACCAAAUCCACCCACUUUAUGAACAUUUGAAGAUCAUUCCACAUUGUAAGACUUGCUUUAAGCACAUAUGUCCCAUUUGUACUGUCUUGUAAUCAUGACAUAAUGAUCCUGACUUAAUGACAGUCUAUUUGAGUCAUUGGAAAUCUCCUACAUAACAUAGCCUUGUAAUAAGACAUUAUAAAGCCUCAUACAUGCUUAUAACACGUUAUAAUGCAUUAUACCUGCAGAUUUUAAGUAAAGAGUUACCGCUUAUGCAUGUGUAUUGGCACUGGCAGUCGUAGAUGUCUAGAGUUAUGUGUAGAGACAUGUCUAAUGAUUUUUCUAUCUGCCUCUACUCAGACCCCAGAAGAGCACAUAACUGGUAUCUUGGGCAGGAUUGGGAGCUGGUUCUCGCCCUGGAGAGGAAAAGGGAGCCUCACGAGUCCCAGUGACCAUGCUUCUCUGUCCCCGACGGACGACCAAGGCCCCAGGCCAGAAGGAGAGGGGGCCCAGGAGGAGCCUGUGGGGGAAGAAGAGGAGCAGCAGGAGGAGGGACAGGAUUCCCAGCCUUCCAAAUGGCAUCUCUCCAGGGAUUUUGAGGUGACGGAUGCCAGAACUUCUACCCACAGGGACCGGCCCCUCUCUGCAGCCAGCAGCCACAGUGAGCUGGAAGGAUAAGGAGAAGGACAAGGAGAAGGUCCUAGGGAGGAGGAGUGGUGGAGUGCCUCACAGAGAGAGGAGGAGGGGAGCAGCAGAGCGAGCGGGAAUCCUGCCCCGGAGUGAAAUGCCAGCCAUCUGUGAUUUGUGCUUUCAUCCGCCCCUGAAGAGGGAGCAGCCUGGGAGGACUCUGACCGGCGGGAACACUCCCAAGCUCACACACACCCAGGCCCAGCCUCAAGCCCAAGUCCAGGCAGGCAAGAGGCUGCAUGUGUACCUGGAGGAGACAAGGGUGAGCCAGAGCGGAACGUACACCCACACAAAGCAGGAAGUGCUCCUUACUAACAACACCAGGGUGAAGAAAAGUAUUUCCAGAGCUAAGUCAUCCAAGAGUGCUGAUUUGUCAGCAAAGAACACCAGUACAGAGGAGAGGACCGAGCAGCGCAAAGUCAGGACCUGUCUCAAAGCUGCUAUCGGCGUAAAAUGUCAUAGCAAUUACAGUSCCCUGCUAGGAGUGUCACUGAAGUUGCACACAAAAACACUGAGGGCUAUUGCUGACACAGCCAGUGAUACAGUCACAGUCACAGACAGAGACACAGACACGAUGGGGCGUAAGAACUCAGCAAGGAGGCGAUCCAGGAAGAGCUCCUUCGAAGACGGAGGAGGAGCCAGUUCUCAGGAGAACACGCCCACCAAAACCCAGCCUGCACCCGAGAUCUCAUCUACAUCCUCAGAUAAUAACACACCUACACCUGGAGACUCCACCCCCUGGAGACUCCACCCCCUCCUCCUCUAAAGACAAACAUGCCUCAGUGAUCUCAACUGCGGCAGGUAAGCAGGGGUCAACCACCUCCAGUGGCGUUCCAACGGAAACACAUCCAAGGAAGGGAGUAGAGGAAGCCCAGGAGGCCCUAGAUGCACCUGUAUAUGCCAUCUUAGCGGCUGAGGAAGGGGACAUGGACGUACACAUGCUCAACAACACUAGCCCGUGCCAGCUGGAGAGGCGCACGGAGAGUGCAGAGUCCAAACGGCGGAGCAUGAAGGUAUCACACAGUGAGGUUACGUUUUUUUGCGAAGAAAGUGAUGGUGAACUCAGAGAAGGAUACAGAAGUUAAGGAUACGGCUAAGGAAAAGGGGAAGAUCACCUGAUCUGAAGAAAGUGGGCGAGUAACCCAAGACCACUAAGGCUAUCGUGCGGAUUGCAGAAAGGAUCACCCUUUUUGAGGGAAAAGUGCCAAGGGUUGCCAGUCCCAGUAAGUCCAACCCCAGAAGCGUAGACGUUUCUCCUGCCAGAAAGGUCCCAGAGCGGCUAAGAACAGAUGUAAACAGAGAGCUCGGGUUGCCAGAUCAGCGGGCAACAUUGGUGGAACGUGGCAACGCCAGGUCCAGCUCGACCCCCUCUCUGUCCGGGAGAAACGAAAGAGGGUCCGGGAGUGGGCGAAGAACUUUGCAGAGGCUCACAAGAUGGAAGAUAAAACAAAGCUGACUCACAAGUCCUCUGGGAUGGCUGGAAUGUUACAAAAUGCUACUGCUUCUCCCACUUGUGCUGUGUCAAAGACAACUAAGUAGGACAUUCAGGGAAAACUGGCCAGCGCAGAGAAGACUCCUAAUCGGACCCCCCCGAAGGCAGAGAUAAUAUCAAAACCAGCAGAGCCAGAUACCACCACAGUAGCCGCCGUACCAGUUCCUCAAGCAUAUCAGAUAGACUCUAAAACAAAGGACAAAGAGGCUACUAAAACAGUGGAGCUACCAAGGAGACCUAUCAAUAUUGACCUAAAUUCUUUAAGCCAGCUGACCCCUCAGGUGGCCUCAACCAAUAAGGUCAGCCUCCAGCCCAAAGUCCAUGGAACACAAAACUCCAGGUCCAAGAGACAGAAAAGCAAAGAAGGGGAGGCAGCCAAUCCCCAGAGUCAGAGCAGUGACAUAAAACAGGAAGUGUUGAACACUGAGCAGGAAGUGGUCAACAGCAAACUGGAGGAGGCAGGCACCACAAAGAAAAUAGCCACGGCCUCUGAGCAGGAAGUUAAGACAGUCACAUCGCCACAAUCUAGUCAAUAUGUAGAAGUUAAAUCAGAUGUUGAAAAACAAUCUGUCAGUGAAAACAGCGAGCAAACAGACAAUAAAACUGAAAGUAAACAAGAAGUAACAGGCACAACAAAGAAAAUGUCUGCUGCAUCUGAGCAGGAAGUGAAGACAGUCACAUCGCCACAAUCUAGUCAAUCUGUAGAUGUUAAAUCAGAUUUAAAAAAGAGUCAGUUAGAGAAAACAGCAAUCAAGCAGUCAGUAAAAAGCCAGCGACCUCAAACAAGCAGGCAAUUCUAACGGAAUCACCCACACCUCUAAACGUCAACAAAGACAAUAAAAUGUCUACUUCUGAUCCUAUCAGUAUAAGAAAAGAGCCCAAUGUUAAAACUGUAGACAUUCUACCCUCACAUACUGUAGUUCUAAGGGAAAGAAGGCUGAGUGGGGCAUCUCUGGGGAGACCUCUACGGUUAAGACAAAUCAAAAUGUUUCCAAGGAAAAUAGCAAAACAUAUCUGCCCUCACAUUUGCCUAAGAAAUAACAGCCUCCUGCUCAAGAUCCCACUCCUGUGGAGCAAGGCCCACCUGUCCCACACAUUCAAGUCGACAAUAAACCAAAGCAGCCUGAAAAGAAAGCAGCAGAAAUGUUAAAGCAGCCUAAUAAAAAGACAGAUACAAAGACAGAUUUGCCUUUAGGCACUAGACAUGACACCCGGGGACAGUCGCCAGCAAUGUUAAGAGCAAAGAGGACCCCAAGCUUAUUACAGAGCUAUACAUAUCCAAAUCAGUGUUGAAACAGACAGACCCAGCUGUCCAACCCUCUAUAACUCCUAUUAAACCUCCAGCCUCACUACGGCCUCCCACACAGCCCGUCGGUCAGACGCCUUCUCAGUCAGAUAAAACUGUCGGUAGUGUAGUCACACAAAUUUAAAAGUCAGCAAAGGGAAAAUACAAUGAUACAUGUGCAGUUGAGCCCCAUAAGGAAGGGUUGUCUARGCAUGUGCCUGAGCAGAAAACUACAGUAUUAGAACACAGUAUACUACCAUCAGAACACAGUAUUAAAAAAAGCAGCAAACCAAAGCCUCAAAGCAGCCACAGUCUGUAAAGUCAUCUGAGGCUAAAACAGAUAAACCUAGCAAUGACACACCGACACAGGGAGUGAGUCCUACCCCAGAACCAACGCCCUCGAAGCCUAGUAUUACAGUGCCAGUAGCAGGGAAGGACACCACUGUAAAAUCAGAAACCAAUGCCUCAAAACCUUCAUCGGGUUCUACCCAGAAGUUUUCGGAAACCAAAGACCCAGGACAGACAAGGGGUCAGGGGGAGAAAUAACCUCUGGUCCCAGUGAAGAGGCCUCUACUUGCACCAAACACGAAGAGCAGUGAGGGGCCAGGGCUGGAUGUUGGGAAGGAGAGCUCCAUUGUAAAGACUGAAGCCCCAGAGGUGACAAAAUCUGAGGAUGUGAAGGAGAGGAAAGCUCUGCCAAGCCAAUCACAAAGUGAGGACAGAGAAAAGACAGUGACAUUGCCCUACGGAAAGCUGGCAGAGGGUAAAGGGGAGGCACCACAAAUGGCACCCUAUUCCUUAUGUAGUGCACUACUUUUGACCGUGACUCAUAGGGCUGUAGAGAAUAGGGGGCCUUUUGGGACGUUGCAUUGUGUUGUCGAAGACAUCUGCUUCAGAGAGUGAGAAUGAAUGUGUUUCCUUCUCUUGAUGUUUUGAAGACAGUGUUGGUAGUGCUGUAGUGUAAUGGAAAUGUGCUUCUUCAAACAUAGAUCAAACCAACAAGCUUUAAAGCGAGGCAGAGACAGCAUUUUUCUUUUUUCUCUUGAUGCUUUGAAAUGACACAUGGUUGUCUUAUGUUAGAUGGUGUUGUUUGAGCAUUUCCUUUUCUCAUAAUGUUUUCUUCAAGAAAAUACAAAAUGCACACACUGCACAUUGUCUGUAUCACAUUAGUUUAUUGAGCUUGCGGUCUCCCAGCCUUCGUCAGAGUUUCUUAGAGAUGUUUUUUAUUUAUUAUUACAGAAUGGCCUCCCUUUUCCUAUGAUUUAGAUGGCGUUGUUUGAGAAUGCCCAGUUUAGCGGCCAGACCUAUGAAGUCUUCAGAGACGCGAUCGAUGCCACCCAGCUCCAACUGUCUCCUAUGAUUUCUGUGAAGGUGAUGAGAGGAUGCUGGGUGCUUUACGAGAGGCCUGGGUUCGAGGGGCGUUCAAUUGCCCUAGAGGUGGGGCCUAUUGAGCUGACCAAUGUUUGGGCAGAUACAGGGCCACCAGGUUCACACCCCAAUGUCGAUCCACCAAUGGUCAUCGGCUCCAUCUGACUGGUGGUAUGGUACAGUGCCUGGGUCUGUGUUCCCCUCUGUAGGACUACAGCAUCCCCCAUAUUGACCUGUUCACUGAGCCAGAGGGCCACGGCAGGCUAGCACCAUAUCGUGACGACACAGUACAGAUCGGCUCCUUCCGUAUCCCACAGAACACAGCUUCCAUCUGCCACGACUUCCGCCGAAGUCGGCUCCUCUCCUUGUUCGGGCGGCUUUCGCCGGUCCACGUCACCGGCUUUCUAGCCAUCACCGCUCCAUUWUUCAUGUAUCCGUUUGUUUUGUCUUGUUCCCUGCACACCUGGUUUUCAAUCAAUCCAAUCCCCAAUCAAUCCAUAUGUAUUUAUUCUUCUGUUCCCCAUCAUGUCUUUGUGUAAGAUUGUUUGUGUUACGUGUAUUUUGGAAUUGUGGAUAUUGUUACGCGCAUUACUUUUUCUCUAUGUUCCGUGUCUGGGUACAUUUUAUGUUACUUUGUGCUGUCAUUUUGGACCGGAAUAAAAAGUGUGCCUGUUCACUACACUCUGCUAUCCUGCACCUGACUUCGCCUCCAAUACACACUCCUAACACCAUCAAAGUCCACUCUGGGGUGUAAGUGUGCAUAUGAUUGUUUUAUU